rnacentral:tRNA from 1 species
GCCGAGGUAGCUAAGCCUGGACUACAGCGCUGGUCUUGAAAACCAGUUCUCGCAAGGGAACACGAGUUCAAAUCUCGUCCUCGGCACCA